CAGCCGCCGCGGUAAUACGUAGGUGGCAAGCGUUGUCCGGAAUUAUUGGGCGUAAAGGGCCCGCAGGCGGUUUCUUAAGUCUGAUGUGAAAGCCCCCGGCUCAACCGGGGAGGGUCAUUGGAAACUGGGAAACUUGAGUGCAGAAGAGGAGAGUGGAAUUCCACGUGUAGCGGUGAAAUGCGUAGAGAUGUGGAGGAACACCAGUGGCGAAGGCGACUCUCUGGUCUGUAACUGACGCUGAGGAGCGAAAGCGUGGGGAGCGAACAGGAUUAGAUACCCCGGUAGUCCCUGUCUCUUAUAC
rnacentral:rRNA from 1 species